ACUUUCUUUUUCUAAACCCUAGAUCUUAAUCUUCUUCCUUCUUCUGAUGUACGCUUCCUCUUCUCUUCUGGUCCAGAUGAUUCAAGCUUCAAUAAAUCAGGUCGUCUCAGGAAUUCUAGCCGUCACUCUUAUCGGGAUUUCUCAUCUAUCCGUCUUUCUUUGUUUAUUUUGAUCUGUUGCAAUUCUUGCUGGGUUGAAGGAGAAAUUUGCAGAGGCUAUGAGGAGAGAUGAUGUAAAAGCCAUAGUUUUGACUGGCAAAAAUGGGAGAUUUUCUGGUGGAUUCGACAUCAACGUUUUUCAAAAAGUUCACGUGACUGGAGACAUCUCAACUACCCGAUGUAUCUGUUGAACUUGUGAGUAACACACUCCAAGGUUAAAUGGGAAACAAACUCUUAUUCCUUGGUGGUCACUCAAAGGAGACCUUUGAUAAUGUUACAGCGUGUUUCAUUGAUCUUGAGUCACAAGCGACUGGGGUUUUGGAAGCCACAUGAAAAAAAUCUGGUAGCUUUUGGUGGGCAAUCUGUGACAUUGGUUGGUUCAAAACUUAUAAUGUUUGGGGGAGAGGCCAAACAUAGACUGCUUUUGAAUGACUUCAAUGUCCUUGAUCUAGAGAUAAUGCUUUGGAAUGUUGCCGAGACCACGUAGGUAUAUUCGUUGGAAGAAUCCAUUGAGAGGCAUUUGCGUCAAUUUCUUGGCUGGAAAAUGAUAGCAAUUUGAUGUGUUGCAGUUUUUAAAUGGUCAACUAACUUGUGUCCCUCGCCGGUGACCAACUCCCUGUUCCGAUUGAUGAUAUGGAAAGCCCUAAUAUUAUCAAAAUUUAUGGAAAGCCCUAAUGUUAGUAUAAGGCCAGCCUUGGUUCCAAAGGAACUUGGGGCAUCAACCUAUGUCAGAAUUGGGAUAGUGGAAGGACUAUGUCGGAAUUGGGAGAGUGGUGAGCACAUGCCUGACAAAUUUAAGGUUCUUGCUUGCCUUCACAAAUCUUUGAAAUUUCUUUUGAGUUCAACAUCAUCAGUUGAUGUAUCCAUUUCUCUUCAGGUAAGCUAUUUUUUUUUAAAUUUGAUUCAUUUAAUAUUAAGAUAGCCCUCGAACCAAAUAAAUUACAAGUAUAUUCCUGUCGGGUGCUUUUUACUUCUACCGUGGUGCUUCAUUUUUGUUAUAACCCGAGGACAUAAAUGCCGCUCCACAUAAUCUUCUCGGUUUACCCAAGAAAACUUCACGUCGCUCAAUGUCUUUGCCACCACCAUCUUCCAUCUCUAAUCGCCAAUCUUGGAACCCUCGCUUAAUUCUUCAUUAUUUGUUCUACCAUGGAUGCUACAAGAUCUCCUCCGUAGUUGAAAGGUUUGGCAUCUCCUAAUUCUGCCACCACAAGAUACCUUUUCUCAUCUAAACCCAAAACAUUUUCCAUGGUCAAAAUGAUCUUUUAUUACAACUCACCACUUUUUGCAUAGUUAAAGGGCAAAAUGGUCUUUUAUUACAAAUCACCAAAAACAAAUUCUUUGUAUUGCAGUGAAAGAGGCAUGAUAUUGUAUCCAAAUUGAAAUAUGAGUUAAGCUUCCAAUUAAUUCUAAGGCAAUUUUGACCCGUUCAUUAUGAAAUGGUUGAUUUGAGCUACAUUUGAUCUCUAAGAGGUAAAACGGGUUGAAACUUGAAAGUUGCUAAAGUAUAUGUUCAAGUUGUUUACUAUGCUGCGGUUAUUUUAGUAUUUGUUUAGUCUCAGUAAACUUUUGUGAAUACUUGGUGGUUAACUUAUAAGCUUUAUUAUUUAUAGUUUUGAAUGCAAUUUUGUUAAAAUUACAAAAUUCAGUCUAAUUUCAUUUUUUCCAGCAACUUGGAGAUUAUUCACUUAAUCAGUUAACCAAGUUAAUUCACUGUUCGUGAGUAUUUUAUUCAUACAACUUCAAGCCUUUUACGACGUUCACCUGUCAAUCACGGUAAGUGUCAAAUGGGUCGAAUCAGUUAUACAGGUUGAAAGUUUCAACCUGUUCACUUAGAAAAAUAUUAGCUAAUAAUGAGUCAAGUCAGUCAAACAAGUCAAAUAAAAAGUUCACACAAGUUAAAAUUUCAACUAGGUUAGUUUUUAGUUGGUCAUUUUUUGUUAUGGUUUUUCUUUCUAAAACAUGUCAAGCAAAACAGAUUAGCAAAAGCGGCAAGUUGAACGAGUCAAAACAAUUCAAUCCAGCCCUGUUUCAACUUUCACUAAAGUUAGUCUUUUUGACCCAUUGUCCAACUGUACCCAGUUUUUCACCUCUAGAAACAGGUAUUAGUCUUAUGUGCCCUUGAUUAAGUUAAAGAUAUAUAAACUAAUAGAUUAAGAAAAAGAGUUCACCAUAUGAACUUUUGCACACUCCUUGACUAUGAGCUCUUUUUAUGUUGAUAUGAACUAUCGAGGCCUACCAAUCUUCAAGAUUUGAGCAUUUUUUAAUGUUUUCUACCAAUGGCUGCACUUCUUCAGAUAAUGCAAAUCAUAAGGAACAUCUCAGUUGAGUAUCUAUAUGAAUGGUAGUUUCAAGAGGAUAACCUGUAAAAUACUGGAAAAUAUGAUGGGCCAUUGAGGUUGGGUAACAUGGCAAAGUGGGUUGGCGUGAUGUUAAAAUUUGGGUGACGUUUAAACCAUGUGGGGUUGAAGUGUUACUAAUUUAACCUUUUCAAUUUCAAUUAUGUAAUAUUCCAAGUUGUUUGUUUGAUUGAAAUUAUGUAUUUAAUCAUUAUUAAUUAAUAUAAAUAACUUGCUUUGAACGUUUA